GCUCCAUGCGCCAGUCACUGCUCAUUCUUGCCAACGUGCCCUUUGCAUUAGUGGGAGGCAUGCUGGCCCUGUGGGUCUCCGGCGCAUAUCUGUCGGUGCCGGCUUCCGUCGGCUUUAUCGCGCUGCUCGGCAUCGCCGUGCUCAACGGGCUGGUUCUGGUCAGUUAUUUCAAUCAGUUGCUGGACAGCGGGCUUCCGUUAGA
rnacentral:misc_RNA from 1 species